rnacentral:rRNA from 1 species
AUUGAACGCUGGCGGCAGGCCUAACACAUGCAAGUCGAACGGUAGCACAGAGAGCUUGCUCUCGGGUGACGAGUGGCGGACGGGUGAGUAAUGUCUGGGAAACUGCCCGAUGGAGGGGGAUAACUACUGGAAACGGUAGCUAAUACCGCAUAACGUCGCAAGACCAAGGUGGGGGACCUUCGGGCCCCACACCAUCGGAUGUGCCCAGAUGGGAUUAGCUAGUAGGUGGGGUAAUGGCUCACCUAGGCGACGAUCCCUAGCUGGUCUGAGAGGAUGACCAGCCACACUGGAACUGAGACACGGUCCAGACUCCUACGGGAGGCAGCAGUGGGGAAUAUUGCACAAUGGGCGCAAGCCUGAUGCAGCCAUGCCGCGUGUAUGAAGAAGGCCUUCGGGUUGUAAAGUACUUUCAGCGGGGAGGAAGGCGGUGAAGUUAAUAACUUCACCGAUUGACGUUACCCGCAGAAGAAGCACCGGCUAACUCCGUGCCAGCAGCCGCCGUAA